rnacentral:rRNA from 1 species
GACGAACGCUGGCGGCGUGCUUAACACAUGCAAGUCGAACGAAGUGGCGAACGGGUGAGUAACGCGUAAUCAACCUGCCCUUCAGGGGGGGACAACAGUUGGAAACGACUGCUAAUACUGCAUCCUGCAGGACGGGAUUGGGUGUGAUUAGGUAGUUGGUGGGGUCACGGCCAACCAAGGCGAUGAUCAGUAGCCGGUCUGAGAGGAUGACCGGCCACAGUGGGACUGAGACACGGCCCAGACUCCUACGGGAGGCAGCAGUGGGGAAUCUUCCGCAAUGGACGGAAGUCUGACGGAGCAACGCCGCGUGAGUGAUGAAGGGCUUCGGGUUGUAAAGCUCUGUUAAUCGGGACGCGGUACCGGAAUAGAAAGCCACGGCUAACUACGUGCCAGCAGCCGCGGUAAUAC